UUCAUUGAACCAUUAGUUGAGGGGGAGCGUGAACAAUAAACUCAUUUGCAACGUUGGGCUUUCUGGACACAUUUCAACAGAUUUCAAAGAAAACUUUGAAACACAAAUAGAAGGUAAAGUUAUGAAAAAUACCUUAGGGAACUGACUUCUUCAUUCCAAAAAUUUUCGUCGAAAAUCCUAUUGAGUGGAACAUGAAAGGCUUCAGACCAUGAGAAUUGUGUGACAGAAGUUGCUGUUGGAGUCCCCCACCUAUAAGAGUCACUCAAGAGGCCAGUGGCCUUCUUUUCAAAGGGCAUUUUGAACAUUUUUAUCUGUUCAUUUCUGAUCUCACCCAAGAGCUUCGGGCUAAUCUCAUGGUUCAGCACUUGGAAGAAGCCCCACUCAGAAGAGGCCUUCGCCAUCACUUGCAUACAAGUGUGCCUCUCGUCUUUGUCGUUGCUUUUCAAACUGCGUAGGUCUAUUAAUGGGAGUUCACAUUCCUCUUUAACUUCAUGAUCUUGGUUGUUUAGAUGUUGCUGGACUUUGUUUAGAUCAUAAAAGAAUGCUUUAUAUUGGCUGUCAAAAGGAGGGUCACAGAUAUUAUUGUAGCUAAGCAUGUCUGCUCUUGGCAUUGAAAGAUGAGUGGUGAAUGGAGAAUGUUGGUGCAGAUUUUGUUGGAUGCCUAUUGGUGCUUAUAUUCUGUCACAUGGCUGGUCUUAGAGUUUGUGUCUAAGUGGAUAAAAUGAAUAUAUACAAUUAUCACAUUUAAAGCUAACAUGGCUGAACGCUAGAUUGCAACUUUUGGUGGAACGGGAGCAUUCUGCUGAAACUUGCCUGGGGUGACCAUUUCCACGCACAUGGUGUAAUGCAAUGGUUUUUUUUCAACCUUUUGGACUCUUUGAAGACCCUGGUCUUAAAUUAUUCUGGUUUACUCCGUUCUAGUCCACAAUGUUGAUUCCCAAUGUUGAUUCCCAUAUGUGCUUUUAGAUAACAAACGACUGAUUGUUGAACACCAAAUUAGUAUUUCAGUGAUCUUUCCUUGAAAUGAUCUUCUUCUUGUCAUGACUUGAACCAGUGAAGGUUGCUCCAACUUAGUGGCUUAUCUUGGUUGAUUAUAUGCUUAUAUGUAAUCAAAGUCAAUCACCUUGACUUCGGUGCAGCAUUGGGAAUGAUAAUGUAGUAGGUAGCAUGUGCCUGCAGAUCUUAAAACGGAAGUCUGAACGUAAGAUGAAUUUGAAAGAAAAUUGCAUUGGAUAAUUAUACCGGAGGGCAUGGCAUUGACAUUUAAGGUAUGCAUCUUCCAAUGUAAAUGUUAUUAAAUGGGACUGGUAUGGACCAACAUAUGCUAAUUCUUCUGUAAAUUUCUUUUUUGUUGACUGUCAGUAUUAGACUUCACAAAGUUUGGAUCAUUUUAUAUUUGACUAGUUCAUUACUGUAUCAGAACUGCUGGAAACAUGCCCAUUUGGUAGAACAUGUGAUGUUUCCUUCAUGUGGUUGAUCAAUAAAUAUUGUCAAGUAGA